ACGAUGUGGCCAGCACGGUGUCUGCCUGCACACCGCCAUGCUCCUGCCAUGAUGAUAAUGGGCUGAGCCUCCGAAACUGCACGCUACCACCUCAACUAAGUGCUUCCCUUUAUAAGAGUUGCCAUGGCCACGGUGUCUCUUCACAGCAGUGUAAACCCCGACUAAGACCGGGGACAGGGUCCAGGAUGGCGAGGAACUGCAGUGGCUGAGGAAGAAAGCAGGGUAACCCUCGCAGCUCAUGUCUAGACCUUGCAGCUGUGACUGCGAUCUUUGCUGGAGAAGGAAUCUUUGCAGAUAGGAUUAAGGGGGAGAUCUGGAAAUGCCAUCAUCAGCCGGGACUGUCCAGGAAACUUCCAUGGCUUUCUUUGGCUCAGAGUAAGUGGGAAAUUCUUCCCCUGGCCUCACCUUUAGGGGCUCAUCCUUGCCAGGCUCUGGACAGCUUGUCUCCUGUGUGGCUUCUGUGACACCAUCCUUGAGUGUCCUUCUGACAUGCAGUGGAAGGAAACUGGGAUACAAUUGUGGAGGUGUUCGUCAGCCCAGCCUGAGUUUUCGGAUCUCUCUACUCUGUCCCAUACAAAGGGGCACUGGACAAGUCUGUCCGGUAAACAUGGGGCAUCUUUCGUGUGCAGUGACCAACUUGACUCCCUUUCCGGGGGCUCCUCUUCCCUCCAGCUCCCCAGCUCCUGCUGGUCAGCCUCUGUCUCCCCUGUGCCCCCGUCCCCCUCCCCCCCCCCCCCCCCGUGGGGUGCCCAGCCUUUUCUGAGACUCUUAGGGCUUGUCCCUCAUUCCUCCCUAGCGGGGUUGGGAGGGGGGGCUGGUGAUGGGAAAGGGGAGAUGAGGCAAUAAAUUGGACCCUUUUGAUAUA